rnacentral:rRNA from 1 species
AUGAAGAGCCUCUCAUUGUACUUCUUGCUCCUCGUCUCUGCUGCGGCACUGCCACUGCACGCCAGUGCCUCGCAGGAGGCUCGGCCGAGAGAGUUCAUCUCGUCCAGAAGAGGCAGUGUUAGCAGCACCGACACGUUUAGGGUGCGUAACAUAGCCGACAGGGUUGCCGGCAGCCUGAGCGCAGAGAGCUCUGUCUCUGACCAGAGCUCCAUGAAGGCCGCCGACAAGAUCACGGCACUGCCCGGGCAGCCGGAGGGCGUCGACUUCGACCAGUACGGUGGGUACGUGACCGUCGACGAGGCGAACGGCCGCGCACUCUUCUACUACCUCGCCGAGUCGCCUUCCGGUGCUUCAGAGAAGCCGCUCCUCCUGUGGCUCAACGGAGGUCCAGGAUGCUCUUCGCUUGGCUUUGGAGCUAUGCAGGAGCUCGGCCCCUUCCGCGUAGCUGAAGACAACAAAACGCUCACCAGAAACAUGAACGCGUGGAACAACGUGGCCAACGUCAUCUUCCUGGAGUCGCCCGCCGGCGUCGGGUUCUCCUACUCGAACACGUCUUCGGACUAUGACCUGAGUGGCGACGAGAGAACCGCCGACGACGCGUACGUCUUCCUGGUGAAAUGGCUGGAGAGGUUCCCGGAGUACAAGGGGCGCGCCUUCUACAUCUCCGGCGAGAGCUUCGCCGGCCACUACGUGCCAGAGCUCGCCGCCACCAUCCUGUUCCAUAACACGUACAACAACAGAACCAUAGUCAACCUUCAGGGUUUUCUUGUUGGAAACCCGUAUCUGGACGAGAAGAGGAACAUCCAGGGGGCCAUCGACUUCUUCUGGACCCAUGCCGUGAUAUCCGACGAGGUGUACGCCAAUGUCACUAAGAACUGCGACUUCGGCAACUGGGACGGGAAUGUCGCCGGCACGGCGUGCAGCGGCGCCUGGGACGCGUUCGACGGCGGCCAGAUCGACUACUACGACAUCUACGCUCCGGUUUGCAUCCACGCCCCCAACGGAGCACGUUACCCCAGUGGCUACCUGCCUGGGUAUGAUCCGUGCAGUGUGUAUCCUACCUGGGCCUAUCUCAAUGAUCAGGCGGUGCAGAGCGCUUUCCACGCUAGAACGACGAAGUGGUCACCCUGCAAAAACCUGCACUGGAAAGAUGCGCCAAUGUCCAUGCUGCCGACCCUGAAAUGGUUGAUCGGAAGCAGGCUUCCGGUUUGGAUAUUCAGCGGCGAUUUUGAUUCGGUGUGCUCGCUACCGGCGACGAGGUACUCCAUCCAAGACCUUGGCCUGCCUGUGACCACUCCAUGGCGUCCAUGGACAGCAAAGGAAGAGGUGGGAGGCUAUGUCCAGCAGUACGCCGGAGGAUUCACGUUCCUAUCUGUGAGGGGAGCUGGCCAUUUGGUUCCAUCCUUCCAGCCAGAGAGGGCAUUGGUGAUGUUGAGCUCCUUCCUGAAAGGGAUGCUCCCACCUUACAUACAAGAGCAGUGA